rnacentral:SRP_RNA from 1 species
GAGCGCGCCCGCUUCAAGGUGGGAGUCAGCACGGUGUUAUCCUCGGAGGGGGAUUGUGACGUGGCUGAUAAUGCGGGGACACAUCGCGUCAGGCGGGUAACCGAGCAUCGCUACAGCUCCAGCUCUUGCCAGUGAAGGGAUCACGCGCUC